CAAGCACUUGGUACAGCGCUCUGCACAAACACUGGAGUGGUAAAAUAAAUAAUAACUGGUCAGAAACUUCUGGAGUAUGCCAGGAAUUUUUCAUAACUGACCAACAUCCUUACUGCAUUAACUGAAGAAGAGGAGAUGCACUUUAGCUUGUCCAUGCUUCCUACAUAAAAGAAUGAACCUGGUUCUGAGAACUUGCAAACCGAUGUGACCUCCGGAAAUAAAGCAAAUUGAGUGUAAGCUCCAUGGAACACAUGGAUAGAGAAUAUGUGACUUCUUGAGAGGCAGCAUGGCCCAGAGGAAAAAGCACAGAACUGGGAAUCAGCAAACCUAGGAUUAAGACCGUGAA